AAGAUAUUAGUAACUGACCAUUACAUAACUUUGCCAUAGUUAAAUCAUAGGUUUAAGCCCUAUAUAUCUUA
rnacentral:tRNA from 1 species